rnacentral:rRNA from 1 species
GACGAACGCUGGCGGCGUGCUUAACACAUGCAAGUCGAACGCAAAGAGGGAAUGAGCCUGCUCUUUCCGGAAUUGAGUGGCAAACGGGUGAGGAACACGUAAACAACCUGCCUUCAGGAUGGGGACAACAGACGGAAACGACAGCUAAUACCGAAUACGUUACAAGCACCGCAUGGCCCAUGGAAGUAAAGGUGGACCCUACCUGUAAGCUAUCGCCUGGUGUGGGCUUGGCGUCUGAUUAGCUGGUUGGAGGGGUAACGGCCCACCAAGGCGAUGAUCAGUAGCCUGCCUGAGAGGAUGAACGGCCACACUGGAACUGAGACACGGUCCAGACUCCUACGGGAGGCAGCAGUGGGGAAUCUUCCGCAAUGGGCGAAAGCCUGACGGAGCAACGCCGCGUGAGUGAUGACGGCCUUCGGGUUGUAAAACUCUGUGAUCCGGGACGAAAAGGCGUGGUGCGAGGAACAAACUGCAGUGACGGUACCUGAAAAGCAAGCCACGGCUAACUACGUG